rnacentral:rRNA from 1 species
UACAGAGGUCCCAAGCGUUGUUCGGAUUCACUGGGCGUAAAGGGUGCGUAGGUGGUUGGGGAAGUUUGAUGUGAAAGCUCGGAGCUUAACUCCGAAAUGGCAUUGAAUACUUCUUAACUUGAGGGUCGGAGGGGAGACUGGAAUUCUCGGUGUAGCAGUGAAAUGCGUAGAUAUCGAGAGGAACACCAGUGGCGAAGGCGAGUCUCUGGACGACUCCUGACACUGAGGCACGAAAGCUAGGGGAGCAAACAGG